AUGAGGGCUCCUGCUCAUCUCCUGGGGCUGCUGCUGCUCUGGAUCCCAGGUUCCAGUUGUGAUAUCCAGUUGACCCAGUCUCCAUCUCAGACUGUAUCACUAAAAGACACAGUCAGCAUCAACUGUCAAGUCAGUCAGAGACUUAGCAGAACAUUAAGUUGGUAUCAGCAAAAACCAGGGCAAUCUCCUAAGCUCCUAGUCUAUGAAGCAUCCAGUUGGUCUCCUGGGGUCCCCUCAAGGUCCAGUGGCAGUGAGUCUGGGACAGAUUUUACACUCAGCACCAGCAGUUUGGAGCCAGAAGAUAUUGGAACUUAUUACUGUCAACAGUACUGGAGUUAUCCACCCACUUUUGGGGGGGGGUUUCAAGUCAGGGUU